rnacentral:rRNA from 1 species
UUGAACGCUGGCGGCAUGCCUUACACCUGCACGUCGAACGGCAGCACGGGUGCUUGCCCCUGGUGGCGAGUGGCGAACGGGUGAGUAAUACAUCGGAACAUGUCCUGUAGUGGGGGAUAGCCCGGCGAAAGCCGGAUUAAUACCGCAUACGAUCCACGGAUGAAAGCGGGGGACCUUCGGGCCUCGCGCUAUAGGGUUGGCCGAUGGCUGAUUAGCUAGUUGGUGGGGUAAAGGCCUACCAAGGCGACGAUCAGUAGCUGGUCUGAGAGGACGACCAGCCACACUGGGACUGAGACACGGCCCAGACUCCUACGGGAGGCAGCAGUGGGGAAUUUUGGACAAUGGGCGAAAGCCUGAUCCAGCAAUGCCGCGUGUGUGAAGAAGGCCUUCGGGUUGUAAAGCACUUUUGUCCGGAAAGAAAUCCUUGACUCUAAUACAGUCGGGGGAUGACGGUACCGGAAGAAUAAGCACCGGCUAACUACGUG